CCCAGGUCAGGCGGGGCUACCCGCUGAAUUUAAGCAUAUCAA
rnacentral:rRNA from 2 species